AGAAUCACAGCUGCACUCUUCUUCUCACAGUUUGUUUUGCUCGUGUGCCUGGAGACCCCAAAGCAAGGGAAGCAUUCAAAACGAGAUAAACGUAUAAACACGAGAAGAAAUCAACACACACAUCCUCUGCAAUACAGUCGGGAAAUCACACGGGAUCUGACCAAAGGAAGAAGCCAGGAAAGUCAACAAACAAGCUGGAGGAGACGCAAUGUACAGAGAUGAAAUGUUUAGAAGAAAUAAACACUGAGAGGAGGGAAAAACAGGCAACAUGGAAGUUCUUGAGUUUAAAAGUCUCCUAAGCCUCUAUUUCCAGGAUUGUAUCUGAGGUCCCAGGGAUCAGAAAGUCACCCUCCCAGGAGACUCUGUGUCAUGAAUGCCUCGAAAUUUCUCCUCUCUGCCUCAUAGCCCUCUCUCAGCCCCUCGGUGCCCACCUGGGUCUUGUUCUGGGUCGUGUAAUUUUCAGGGAUGCCAUGUUUUUCUAGUUAUUGAGGCAAGGCAAGGAAUCAACCUUCCUUGAGGACACGCUGUAUGCCAGACACCGCUUUUGACUUUUUACAAUGGCUACCAAAUUGCUCUCAGUAAUAUUUCAUCGUGAGAUAAAUGGUUUUACCGAAUUUGCAUAAAGUCCCACAGCCAGUAGAGUUGGAACUGAAAUCGAGUUUGCUUUUAAGAAGCCCCUACCCGCCUACUCUGUUUCUCUGUAACCUCUAGUCCCCAGGUUCCUUCCCGUCCCUGUGUCCUGUGCCUUUAAGGAUCAUUUGCAGGGAGUCCGGUUCUGACUAUUUAGGGCUGAGGAGCCUCAGGUGAGUGACACUCAAAACUAGAGUCAGAUGGUCAGCUCGGCACAGCGCUGGGAUGCGUGGAGGUCAGAGAAGGCUUGAAGAGACAGGAAAAUCGCCUUCCCCCACGCAGGUCUCUGCUGCUGGUGACCGUCUUCCCAGUAAACGCACAGACAGAACCCACAGCACAGUGCCCAGAGGAGGAGAGGAGACCAACAGAUAAGGUCAGUGACAGCAGUGAUAUGCGGCGGAAGAUAGAAAAGAAGAAAAAGGAAUAUUUUAAGCAGAGGCAACAGCUAACAGGAUGUGGAAUUGAACUUUUCCUGUUGUCUCAGGUGUUGGCUAGAGCUUCAAAGGUGAAGUCAAUGUGUGGUAAGAAUCCCCACAUCUAAAAUAGGUGCUGAGGAUAUCCCGCAGGACUUGCAAAGAGGCGGCUAGAGGUUCCUAAGGAGUUCUUUGUCAGAGGAGCAAGCCGUGUUUUUUCCUUCCCUCCCCAGGGGAAAGGGGAUCCAGCCACCCAAAUCAAGCAAAGUGGGGAGACAAGGGAACCUCAGGGUUAGGGGUGCUUUGUAAGAAAGGGGGACAAACUUGCCUCUUCAUUUCAGAGAAGCUUGUUGAGUGGUGAAAACACAUCAACCUGCAUAGUAUUAACACUGCUACCAGAG
rnacentral:lncRNA from 1 species